UUCAGAAAUCUCUUUCUUUCCCUCCAUCUUCCUUUGUGCAGGUCCUUUAUCUCUCAGAGCCUGUUUUCUGGCCAGCUGCAGCCUGAUGUUUACUCAGCUGGGGUGAAUAACUUUCCUUUCUGUGUGUCUGAUGUGCUGCGUGUUGUCAAUACAUGGGCCAAUGGAGAUGUCCUCCCUGCUCCAUCCAUAUCAGCUUCUGACCUGACUUAUCUGUUGGCAGACCAGCAGCACUGAAGUCAGUGUGAAUGCAGGCAUCCAUAGAAACGUGUUCUCAUACAGCAGAGGGACUGAGCUGUCAUUGCCUUGAGAGCACCUGGUGAGGUUUGGUCAGCUUUCCAAGAUGAUAACAUGGAGCCUGAAGACCAAGUGCUGAAGACAGAAGGAACUGCAUCCUUGCUUUGUGAGGCAUAGGGAUUCCAAAGGCCAUGAUUAGAUAGCCUUAAUUUGACCUAAGCUUACUGCUUCUUGUCUUUUUAUUUAUUUGCCAGAAGUAAAAGACAGUGGACUUUUCUGUAUCAUGAAGCUGAAGACUGAAUGCAGUUGAACACCAAAGGAAGCAAUGGGAAAUAUUUAUCAUACUUGGGAAGAGGGAUCCAUUUUUGCCAUAUGAAAGCAUACAACAAAAGGUUCUGGCAGCUGGAAACUAGGAGAGAGAGCUGGGAUGGGACUUGCUUGCAUCCCACCGAUGAAGAUGAGCACCCAGUCCUCAGGUCCCUGUGUUUCCCAGCCAUCCCACUCCCUGACAGAUGUCUGUCCUAGGAUGCUGGCUCCCACUCCUAUAUUUGAGAGGUGACAGAUGACUUGCUUCUCCUCCUUUUGCAAGCCUGGGCUGGGCUGAUCUGAUUGCCCUUUUCAGCUGUAGAAAGAUCCAUGUGGACAGGAAGACAUCAGAGAUAUCUAAGACUUCAAGGGCAUGAGAUAAAUGCAAAUGCAUCACUAAUGACUGCUUUAAAAGAAGGUAAAGUAGACCAUAUUGAUUAACGUUAGGCAGUUGCACUGCUGAAUUCUCCUGCUUCCUUCUGAAGCAUUCUGACUUUCUCAGCUAUGCUGUCUGUAAUCCCUUGCUCUGGGAGGGAGCGUGGUGCCCUGACCACACACACACACACUUUGGGCUGCCCCCCCGUUGAGCUGCCGGCACUGCUGAGCCCACUGAGCACUCUGAGCACCUGGGGUCAGUGACACCCAGCUGUCCAAACAGACCCCACAUGCGAGGGCGUGCGUUGGGACCGGCGGGGGAAACCCCACCAGAACCAGACAGCUCUUUGUCUUCAGAGGCAGUGUGGUGGCUCUGGGGCUGCCCUUCUCCUUUGAUCUGAGCCUUCCUCUGCUACUUCACGUCACCCCUGCUUGUUUUCUUCUUUUUGUUUUUCCCUGAUCCUAGGUGGUUCUGAUCUCUGUUCAAGAGUUGAUCUCCACCUUAGCAAUGCUACCUUGGGCUUUGAAAGGAAUCUGACAACAUGUCCUCCCUCUGUAAGUAACUUAGCUUCCAUCAAAGUGGUGCCCUGUUCCCCAUCCAAACACUUCACCUCUGUGCUGGGUGACUUCAGCCCAUCCCAGAAGACCUAGCUGGGAGGCAGCAGGAAAACACCACUUCUCUUGCAUUUUGCACAUUUUCAUCAAUAUCGUCUCACAUUUUACUUUGCCCUAUGGAAACAUCACAAAAGUCACUUCUUACUCUGAAUAUCCCUUUACUUCAGUUGGUACUUCAAUGGGUACUUCACUUUCCCAUCUCUAAGGUAGCUCCCUCAAAAAAUAAAAUGGGAUCCAGCCAUUCUUUCUUGCAUUAGUCAGACGUUCUGGAACAGGAAAAACACACACAUUUAUUCAUCCCCUCUAAAUACAUUUGUUUUUAGUUUAGAUCUAUUCAAAACGAGACCCAGUGUGGACAUCUGUCUUAUUAUCCAACAGUAGGUUAAAAAAAAUAAACUCUGCUGGCUCCGUGGGAGGAAUGCAGAUAAAUGACAGAUGGAGGCAAGCAGUGGACUUCCAGAAGCUUUCAUCCAUGAACCAGCUAAUGGGGCUCAGUGCACAGAACAUCCACCCCAUGCUUUUGCAUCUUCCGGAGCAAUGAAGGAAUUGGACAGCACUGUAUCUGCAGUGUAGCCGUCACUGAGGUUUGCACUGCAGACAUGCUCAGGCACAGUAUGUGAGAGACAGAGGUCAACUAAUAUACCGAGGAAAGAGCGUUGCCCAUAACCCAGGAGGAUUGGACUUGACGGAUGUUUCUGUGUCAGAUUCUGGAUGGUACCAAUGGGCCUUAAUUCCCCCAAGUAGCCACAUCUGGAAUCCCCAACUCAUAAACCCUCUUCCCUUGGGCUCAGGGUCUCCAUUUUACCUCACAACAGAGCUACAUGCUCUUGUCUUUGCCUCCUGGGUGGACCUCAGGCUUAUUUACGGACUUACCUGCAGCCGUGUCCUUCAUCAUCUCCUGUUGUCAGCCCCUUGUCUGUGUCGUGACCCUAGGCCUUCCCAUACCUUGCAAUCAGUGUGAAACUGAUAUAAAACCUGAAAUCUCUCUUCUUUGGAUAUGACAGAAUGGCCAUGUUUGUCUGGGAGGCUGGCAACAUUCCUUGCGAUGGCCAAAAUUGUUGACUUCUGCAAAGCAUCUCUAGGUGCUUGCUGAAAUGUAGUGAAUGGUCAAGUCCAUUCUUGUUCAUUUCCUUAGUUGAAUGCAUGAUCACAACUUGCUAACACAAGUCCUACAGAUCUUGGUACAGAUUUCUCUGAGCUCUGUGCUCAUGUAGUGCCACAAACAAGGCUGCGGGAACAGUGAGGCUCUGUGCAUGGGAUGGAUUUGGAGGGUGGAGAAUACAGCUUUAGGUAUGGCUGGUAGCUGGGUGUGGAUGUGUCGGUGCAGCUGAGUGCUUUCUUAUCCUCCUCGACUUUUCUAUAUUUCCCUCUUCUUUCAUCUGGCAUUUAUGUCUGCUACAUAUGUUCCCCUUUAUACCAUGCCAGAGCUAUGACACAAGAAAAGGGCAGGGAAGGGGUGGGGGAGGGAAAAAUCUCAAAAUGGGAUUUUAUCAAAAUAUUAUCGGAGCACCAGCUGGUGUAGAUUAGCAUAGCACUCUGAGUGAGAGAGCUAUUUUACCUUGUGCUAUUUUUCUCUGGGCUGCACAUGGCCUUUUCUCAAAGUGUGAAGGUUGUGGCCAGCAGGAUUAAUCUGCUCUUCCCAUCCCCGUUUCUGAAGCCCUGCAGUAUCUCAGCCCAUUCAAAAAUUUGACUGAUCCGGGCUGAGAUGGAAACCAGGUAUCAGUAAGUCACCCAUCCACAGAGGCUGGUUGAAUCUUGCUGGAAAAUGAGAGACGAAGGGUCACAAGAAUGAAAAAUGUGUUGUGCAGACGCUCAUUAGUUAGACAGCUUUGCUGGUGUGCCUGUGCCCCAAGGGUCGGCUUGCAAAGGCAGCAGUGCUGGGCUGGGUCUGACACUCAAAGCACUCGAGGGGUCUGGACACAACUGCUCUGCCCCUUUGCAGGAGAUGGCUUUGUGUCCUGGCUUCCAGCCCAGUGCCAGGCCCUCACGGAGUGGGGAAAGUAUUGCUCAUCCAUCACUGUGUAUUUUUAGGGAUUUUAUUCCUGACUGUAAAGUGGAACCAGCUUUUAGAAGCGGAGGAUAAAGAUUUGGCUGGGAACAUCUGAGCUGGAGGACCAAUAACUUGGGAGCUGCUCGGAAGUGUUUGAUCUGUCUCAGGCCCGCAAGUGCUGAGCAAACGCCUGCCUUGAAGUGGAAGUUAUUUUAUGCAUCCACUGGAGUCCUCUAAAGCCAUUUCCUCUGGGACCUCUGGGGACACUCUGGGCAUCUAUUUUCUCAGCAAUACCAAUGUGACAUGAGGGAGACCGUCUCACAGCCGCUAGGACAGAAGGUGGAAGAAUGCAAACGCUGAAACAUUUUUCAGUUUGUCCUGAUUAUCUUUCCUCCUCCAGCAGUUUUAUUAGGGUUCAUAAAUUCUUCUUUAAAGCACUCAUUCCCCCAUGCAUUUUAACCCUCGGCAGCCUUGGAGGUCACUGUAACCCUGUGGGGUUGGUGGCUGUCCAGGAGAAGCCACCCUGCCCCAUCACAGCUGGCUCUGACCGAAGAGAAUGGAAAUCACUGCACAAAAAGGGCUCUGAGGCACAUGGAGCCCUUCCACUGGCUCAAGUGUAAUAUAAAUAACAACCUUAAUCAUGCAGUGAAAUUGGUGGGUGAAGAUAUGACUGAGGAAUCUGAUAUUGCUUUCAGAAGAUUUUCAGUGCAUCAGUGCUGCUCUCCCCAGCGUGGCAGGAAAGCAUGGAAAAUUCCUCCGUCACCACUGCUUGGUGCCCUCCUAUAAUGAGUAGUCGUUGAGGUAAUAGUAACCCUUUUGGCAAAAGCACUUGCUCCAUGGAAAGCCAGGAUAUAUCCAGUAAUGCAGGGGAGUGCCAUAAAGCACAGCUCAGUAGGAACCUGUUAAAGCGAUAACCUCUGCUGGCCCGGCACACUGCUUCACCAACAGUCCCCAGCUCCUGAAGGCAGUGAUGCUAAGUGAAAUAUUCAGGGGAGGUUAAGGUCGGAUAUUACAAACAGUUUCUUCUCAGAAAGAGCAGUGAGGCACUGGAAUGGGCUGCCCAGGGAGGUGGUGGGAUCGCCAUCCCUAGAGGUGUUCCAGAACCAUGGAGAUGUGGCACUGAGGGAUGUGGGCAGUGGGCAUGGUGGGGUGGGCUGGGGUUGGACUUGGGGAUCUGAGAGGUCUUUUCCAACUUGAAUGAUCAUAUGAUUAGAUAGCUGCUGUUUGUUAGGCAGUCUUAUUCUUGUGGCAGUCUUAUUCUUGUGUCCCCUUGGGAGAACAGCCCUGAAGGCUGGUGGCCUUGAACUGGCAGCUUCUGCUGUGGACAUCAUCCCCUCCUUCCCAGUUUGACCUUCUACCAAGCCCUGAAGCAGGCUGAUUUGAGAUCAAUUCUUGCAGCUAUAGCCUAGCAAUCCAUUUGGCUGCGUGGUUUUAUAGCCAGUACAAUAGGAUACAAUUAGUUUGUCAUGCACUUGGUGCAUUAUUCGCUUGCUGUUUGCUGCAAAGGAGGAGAAAGCCGAAAAAGUACAGUGGUGAGCUAUGUUGCUUUGGAACAAAAUAUUUACAUUUUCCACAUUUCCCAUAAGGCAUUAGCACUCUUCCAAAUGUGACACAGGAGAAGCAAAUGCUUAGUGGUCUGUGGAUCUAACGUUUGCUUAAGUACCAUGACAUAUGUGCAUAUGUGUGUACACACACGAGAUAUUUUAGUUCUACUAUUUAAAUUAAGGGUGGGAUACCCUUCAGCACUGCAUUUCUCAGCAUAUGUGUUCUUAUGUUCACUUAUUCUUUGUUUCUGCCAAUGCCUAAAUAAGGAAUACUAAACAGCCACAAAUAUGCAGCCAGUGGAGACGCAGGAAUUCACUGGGAGGGAGCAAAUGCUGAUCUUGAGCUGAUAGGUUUGCAAGGGAAAGAGUCACUGCAGCUGCAGGAGAGAUUUCUGUGGUGGUAUCUGUCUGUAAUGCACAUCACAGCCCCGCUUUGCCUUCAGGGCAAAGCUGAAGCUUUUAGAUGGAGAGCAAGUCGUUUCAAUGCCACAUCAGGGAUAUAUGUAUAUAUAUAUCCACAUAUAUAUACACACACAUAUAAGAAGCACCUGUUUGCACAAUGUUGAUGGUAUUCUCUGCAGCUCUGAGAUGGAACACUGGGCUUGCAAGGAUGCCCAGAUGGGCUGCGUGUGCAGGCAUAGGGGACCACACAUACAUGCCUACAUUUAUUCCCAUUAUUCCCUUGACUUAGAGCUUUAAAGUCACCUCCUCAGUCUCAUGCCAGCUACACAAUGUAAGGAUGACACAGUCAGGCCUUAAAUUUCCUACCUUUAGGAAAAUGCACAUGAAUUUGACCUCACAUUUGUUUUUCUGGUCAAAAAAUGAAAAGUCUAUGGGAAAGCAGCUUGUCCUGGAGCUCACUGCACUGGAGUAUUUCCUGUUAAAGUACAAUGAUCAGCUUGGAAAUUAAAGGGCAGAGAUGUCCCAGUUUGCUUUUCUAUGAUAUCUCUGCACUCAUAGUGAUUGAAAUUGCUUUUGUGAUUCUUAUUUUAAAGCUGGAGCAAUUUAAGCACCAAGUAUCUGCUGUAGUGGAAAUGCUGAGUCACAGCCUGAAGCAGUGAUGGAGCACCUGGUGGAAAGGCAGAGCCAACCCAGGGGAGCUCAGGUGCAUGCAAUGCACCUGAGUGAUUGGAAGGGAUCGAGCCACCCCUUCCCAGACCUCAUUUAAGGGUUGGCAGUGGAGGUGAGGGCAUCUCUUGUCUGCCGACCUGAGGCCUUCUAAAGGCAAAUAGCUCUUUUCUUUCAUUUUUGCAUCUGUGGCUGCUGCAUUUGGGCUCACUCUCAUUUGCUGCAGCCAAAGACUUUGCCACCCUACUAUUAUCAGCCCAUUAUAGCAUUAUGCCUGCUUGCCAGUUUUUUGCCUGUUCCUCGGGUUCUCUGAGAGUACAAGGAACAACAGCUUUUCAGAGUGGGUUCUGCUUUCUGUCUUUUCCCACCUUUGUCCACGCAGCAUACCUAAAUGUUUCCUCACCUCAGUCCUUACAGGGACGUUGUUGGCCAGGAGAGAUCAGUAAUGCAGAGGUUGGGCAAAUCAUACAAUCACUAUGGUUGGAAAAGGCCACUAAGAUCAUCAAGCCCAACUGUCAGCCCAACCCCACCAUGCCCGCUGACCACGUCCCUCAGUGCCGCAUCCCCACGGUUCUGGAACACCUCCAGAGACAGUGUGAUAUCACCAGUUGGACUGGAUGAUCUUAGUGGUCUUUCCCAGCCUUAAUGAUUCCAUGAUAAUAUGUUAUGUAACAAUUAUAGUAUAAUAUAAAUUGUAUUUAAUGGAGAUGCUGCUCUGGGUGUGAUUCAGCUGCAAGGGAAUCCAUCCCAUCUCUUGCAGGGUUUGUGGGGUUGGUAUGUGAUUUCCAUGCCACUGUGCGUGCACCACUAUACACAGCACAUUGCCCCAUCUUUGUUGCUGCGCUGCCCAACUCUCAGCUCAGGGAAAGGAAAGUCUGAGCUGAUAAGAAAGAUAACUGUUCUGAAGAAGGGAGGCAGAGGUUAAGGAGUGCCAUCUUUUGUGAUCCAUGAUUUGAGGUGGGAGCUUGCAGCCAGGUCCCCUCCGUGCCCAUUCUUCUGCCCUCUUCGCAUCCUCUCCUCCCAUUUUCCACCCCACCCUUGGAGAGGGGUAUGUCUGCUUACCUCCCUUUGCAGCAAGGGCAGAGGAAGAUGAGGAGCUUGGCUGGGGCAUGGAUGGAGCAGCCCAGGGUGCAGCAUCAACAGCCCCAGCCCCUACUCCCCCCCAGGCAGCAUUUGCAAAAGAUCAAAGCGUGCAGCAAAAAUAGCAAAAGGGAAGAGCUUGUGGGUUGGACAUCUGGAGGCCAGAAGCAGCUCCUGCUUUUGAGUAGGCAAGAGGUGAAGGAGGAAGGGUAAAAAUGGGUUUACGGUCUCGCUUCUUUUACUGGGAUUAAAAACUUCUUAUAAAGUUAUAUGGUUUGCUGUUAUUUGAGAAAGCAGUGUCCUAUGUCUCUGUAAGGUCCUAAUUUCAGAAGCAGGGAUGCUAAUGACACCUAUAAAAAUAGAGAGGUGGGUAUUUUCUGGCAGUCACAAUGCUGAUUUAUCUGUGGUGCAUCAUCUGACAACCUUAUUUUUAUUCCAAGGGGCACAAGGAGGCUCCUGGGAAAUGUCUGUGCUGCUAAGCUGAAUAAAGCAGGUGCUAUUUCCUUUUGCAGCUGGAUGUUUUCAACUAUAAGAACUCAGAAACAAGCCCAAACCUAAGGGGAUGGCUGGGUCACAGCCCAGUUUUUCAAAGCCUUUGCAAAGAAACUGGAGACAGGCAGACUAGAAGUCAAAGUCCAACCUCUGGACAGUGCUGCCAAGAGUGCAAUCAAAUAUUGUGCCCAUUUCCACCAAAUAAGUGUGCCAGUGUCAUUGCAAUGCAUUAACGUACAAACAGUACAUUGCAACGUUGGGUUCACUCUGCAAAUGGAGCUGAGUGAGCAAAGUGUUUCACGCCAUUAUGUGUGUCCAAAUGGGAUGAAAACCUCUGGAGGCAGCAUAGCGGGACAUUCUCUGGUGAAAACAUUUACCAUGGAAAAAUGCAAUUUGCAGGGGAUGAUUUGCAUCCAGCACGAUGAACAAUUUUGGCCACAGGAAAAAUAAGCUGAAGUGGAGGGAAGGAGGUUGGAAUGGAAACAGACAGAUUUGAUUGGUUUUCUUUUAACAAAAGAAGCCGUAAGUUAAACACUCUGUUUGUGACAAGAUGUACCAUCUUAUCCCAGGCAGGUUGGAAUUCUUUUUCUUUCCAUCUUUUUCCUUUUUGAUUUUUCCCUUCUCUGUUCAUUCUGUUGGGAAAUGUUUUGUGGAUCAUGGCAUGGGGAGGUUUGGGACUCUGUGUUCCUUUCUGAGCUUCAUCAUCGUUAUCACUUUGCCAUUGUUUGUCUUGAUGUAGGAUCAACAACUGUCUCUCUCCUUGGUCAAAUGGUGGAACUGCUUCUUUCCUCUUCCAGUUUUGCCUCCUGGUCAUUAAAGUGGGAAAUAUCUCUCAUUCAUUUGCAUUGGUUUGACCUGUGCUCCUGGUUUUCUUUCCCAGCUAGGGACAUGGUUGUUGCUCCCAGCCAAGUGCCAGGUGUAUGGCAUGUGAUGACACCAAGCCCUGCCAGGUUGCAUGUUUCAAUGCUUGUGUUGUGCCACUUUCAUUAGCGCACUGAUUAACCAUUUCCCCGUGGUCUAAUGAAUUCCACUUGCCCAUUGCUCACUGAGCAUACCCAGAAAUCACAGCAUUGGGCAAUGCUCACUGGGAUACUUAAGGAAGAGGAGGGGAAAAAAAAAUGAAUGUGCGAGUGCUGGAUUGGGCAGGAAUGGGGGAAUGAAGAAAUUCAAACAUUUUUUUUUCUUCUUUCAGUGGUGAGGGCAGACAAGGCUGAUAGCUGCCUCCGUGUGAAACUGGAGCUACAUCCAGGAAUGGUAUUUAUAUGCACGGAUGUAGCUUUCAAUCAGGAUGAUGUAAACACUGCUGCAGAAUUUUUUGACCAGGCUGUUUGGGAAACGUGAUGGAUUAAAUAUGACAAACAAGAUUCCUGGACGUUUAUUUAUCCGCCUUUUCAUUUGUGCCAGUUUCAUGUUAGGCAAGGCUCUGGCUACCAGACCGAUGCUAAGCCCUGAGGGCAGGCAAGGCUGGGGGGAGGGAGCCACAAAGAGAGUGUUUUCCAAGCCUCAUCUAAUUUAAAGCAUCUUUUGCUGAGUGGUGCAGCGAAGAGGAUGUGGCUAACACAAAUAAAAAAAUCAUAAAGGGAUCAAAGUGUGUGUGCAAAUUCAUUCCUUGUGGCAGGAGUUCUGCCAGUUUGCUUGCUCGCUUGCUUUCCUAAAAAAAAAAAAUUCUCUCCCCGCCCCCAGGAUGGAGCGAGCAAUCGCAUGUCAGAAUCUCUUCUGGAUUUCAUAAGGGUUUCAGCACUGAUGGAUGGGCGGGAUGACACCAGAGCCUGUACAUUGUGCCUGAGAUCUGAGCCACUUCCCCUUGGUCCCAUGGUUACACAUGGAACAGUUGCAUGGGCGCAAUCUAUUUAUAAGUGGUUCAAAGGCACCACAAAAGCAGGGGGAUGCUGGUGUGAAGCACUGGGCCACCAGGAAGCUCUCUAGCACUUGCAGGAACCUGACGUUACCCCAGAGCCUGAGCAGUUCCUGGCAGGGUGUAAGAUGAGGAAAGUCCUAAAAAGGAAAACAAAAGAAAAAAGAUAUAAAAAGUAAAAUCUAAAA
ensembl:lncRNA